UACAGAGGUGCCAAGCGUUAGGCGGAAUCACUGGGCUUAAAGCGCGUGUAGGCGGGUCGUUAAGUGUCUUGUGAAAUCCCACGGCUCAACCGUGGAACUGCUGGGCAUACUGACGAUCUUGAGGCACGCAGGGGCUGUCGGAACAAAUGGUGGAGCGGUGAAAUGCGUAGAUAUCAUGUGGAACGCCAACGGUGAAAGCAGGCAGCUGGGGGUGUCCUGACGCUGAGACGCGAAAGCCAGGGGAGCGAACGGG
rnacentral:rRNA from 1 species